rnacentral:rRNA from 1 species
AGACAGUGGAACUCCAUGUGUAGCGGUGGAAUGCGUAGAUAUAUGGAAGAACACCAGUGGCGAAGGCGGCUGUCUAGUCUGUAACUGACGCUGAGGCUCGAAAGCAUGGGUAGCGAACAGGAUUAGAUACCCUGGUAGUCCAUGCCGUAAACGAUGAGUGCUAAGUGUUGGAGGGUUUCCCCCUUCAGUGCUGCAGCUAACGCAUUAAGCACUCCGCCUGGGGAGUACGACCGCAAGGUUGAAACUCAAAGGAAUUGACGGGGGCCCGCACAAGCGGUGGAGCAUGUGGUUUAAUUCGAAGCUACGCGAAGAACCUUACCAGGUCUUGACAUCUUCUGCCAAUCUUAGAGAUAAGACGUUCCCUUCGGGGACAGAAUGACAGGUGGUGCAUGGUUGUCGUCAGCUCGUGUCGUGAGAUGUUGGGUUAAGUCCCGCAACGAGCGCAACCCUUAUUAUCAGUUGCCAGCAUUCAGUUGGGCACUCUGGUGAGACUGCCGGUGACAAACCGGAGGAAGGUGGGGAUGACGUCAAAUCAUCAUGCCCCUUAUGACCUGGGCUACACACGUGCUACAAUGGACGGUACAACGAGUCGCGAAGUCGUGAGGCUAAGCUAAUCUCUUAAAGCCGUUCUCAGUUCGGAUUGUAGGCUGCAACUCGCCUACAUGAAGUUGGAAUCGCUAGUAAUCGCGGAUCAGCAUGCCGCGGUGAAUACGUUCCCGGGCCUUGUACACACCGCCCGUCACACCAUGAGAGUUUGUAACACCCAAAGCCGGUGAGAUAACCUUCGGGAGUCAGCCGUCUAAGGUGGGACAGAUGAUUAGGGUGAAGUCGUAACAAGGUAACCA